CCUACGGGGGGCAGCAGUGGGGAAUAUUGCGCAAUGGGCGAAAGCCUGACGCAGCGACGCCGCGUGAGGGAUGAAGGUCUUCGGAUCGUAAACCUCUGUCAGCAGGGAAGAACGGUCACUGUGCUAAUCAGCAGUGAAUUGACGAUACCUGUAAAGGAAGCACCGGCUAACUCCGUGCCAGCCGCCGCGGUAAUACGGUGGGUGCGAGCGUUUAUCGGAAUUACUGGGCGUAAAGCGCUCGUAGGCGGGAUGUCAAGUUAUGGGGGAAAUCGCCGCGCUCAACGUGGGAACUGCCUUUGAAACUGGCAAACUUGAGUGUGUGAGAGGAUAGUGGAAUUCCAGGUGUAGGAGUGAAAUGCGUAGAUAUCUGGAGGAACAUCAGUGGCGAAGGCGACUAUCUGGCACAUAACUGACGCUGAGGAGCGAAAGCGUGGGUAGCAAACAGGAUUAGAUACCCUAGUAGUC
rnacentral:rRNA from 1 species